AAGACUAAAAGACUAAAACACCCGUGCCUAACAAUCCUUUUGUCAAAGAACUGUUCUAACCCAAACACAAUAAGCAACUGAAAAAAAAAAAAAUCAAAACUGAAAAAAAAAAAAAAUCAAAGAAUCAAACGAUAAGUUGCUGGAAAUUCAUAAGGCUCAACUCUUCUCAAGUCUGAGCAAGGACCUUAUCCUCGAAGCUCAGCGAUGGCGUCGUUAAUAGCGAGAGCUCCACCGAUGAUUCCUCAAUCACUGAACUCACCUUCUCGCUUAUCGUCGUCUCAAUCCGAAAACCUAGGCAUUUCUCUUUCCUAUUCAACACCAACUCCUUCCCUUUCUCUCUCUACCACUUCCUCUUCUCCAGUCCCAUUUGUGUAUUGCGGAAGAGGAGACAGGAAGACCGCGAAGGGGAAGCGAUUCAACCAUUCAACCAUUCGAUACCAGUUCCUUCUGUUAUGAUUAGCAUUUCUGCAUAUAUUGCAAGUCUCACAAAUGCGUUGGCUUACUGUCAUGAGAAAGAUGUGAUUCACAGAGAUAUCAAGCCAGAAAAUUUAUUGCUUGAUCAUGAGGGCCGACUGAAGAUUGCUGAUUUUGAGUCGUCUGUGCAAUCUAGGAGCAAGAGGCACACAAGAGACAGAAUAAGGGCAUUCUUCGUCAUUAUAAAAUGUUUGCCUUUGUUUUGUACUGAUUUUAACGGAAAAAAAUCAAUUUUUUGAAACGGAAGGACCUUUUAAUUAGACGGAGUUAAACCUGAGGGACUAGUUAGAUAUUUGUGCAAAACUUGAGAUUAGUUGGUUAAUUAUGUAAAAUCUGAGGGACUAAAUAAUA